rnacentral:lncRNA from 1 species
AUGACUAGUGUUCAGCUCAAUUAGGACAAACCCUGGCACUUAGCCAUGCAGGAACAAUGGCAAGCCUUUAUCCUGAUCCAGAGUGGCAACAGGCGCCUUGCUGGAUCAGAAACGCAGUGGACACCCUGCCAGAUCCGGAGGGGAGAAGUCAAGGGAGGGUCUGGGACGACAGACAACAGCGGUGGUGGACGGCAAGCGAAAGCUCAGUUUGAGCCAUCACAAACACAGACCAGAAGAGUGCGCAGUUGCAAGAUUUAACAGGGUGAAAACAGAGCUCCCAUACAAUGCCAGUGGGUCCCUGUUGUGAGGACGGCAUGGGAGAGAUGACUUCCUUCCAGCCUAAGGGAUUGGGCACCGAAGACAGCACAGACAAGCAUCCUUGGUCAUUGCAUGGAAUAGAACAUUUCAACAGCUCAAACACACUGGUAAUGCUCCAGGAGAGGAAUGAAUGUUUCCUUCCCAGACAUGUCAUUUUGUAUUAGCAGAAGCUGGACAGCUUGAGGAUUAUUGCUUGUAUAUCUGGAAUUAAAUUUCUAGCUCUCCGAAUGCUCAUCCUUUAUAGCAGUGCCAUGUUCUCGGGAGUUUAGCCAGUAAUAGUGUUUGCUGCCACAAUAGAUACAAGUUGUUGGAAGCUGGUCACAUCCACUCUCCUUCUUUACUGAACAUAAUGAAUGAUCACCCAUUGCGUGGAUAACAAAGCAAUCAGGAAGUAAAACCUUUCUUGUUCUUUUUUGGCUCAAUGAAAGGCAAUACACGUGCUUGCUAACAACUACAUGGCCAAAGAAAACACUCAAAUAAACCUGCGAGUUUGUUCUUGCUUGGGGAGCAGGAGAAGUUAAUGCCAUGAGGCCAUUCUAAAGUGGACCAGAAAGUUCCUUCCUUAUGUUUGAAAAAAUUCAUUUUAAAAAGAAAGGCUGUGGUGUCCUUGUGGAAUACACUCGUGGGCUUUCAGUGUGAGACGCCUUCUGGGAGCCAUGAUCAAGCCUGGACUUUGAAUAAGGCAGCUGGAGAGUGGAGGAUUCAUGGAAGGUACACUUUGGAGGAGGAGAUCUAGAAACUUUGUUAGUGUGUAUGAUGGGAUGUAAUAGCAAUCAAUUACAUAUCAAUAACUAGGGUAAAUUUUCAACAUUAUUGUUGAUAAUAGAAACCGAUGAGUUACCUACGCAAAUAAUAAUUUAAGAAAGGUUAAUUUUUGUUGUGGUUCUAUAAAAAUAA